AAAUAAUUUAAGGUCUAACCUGCCCACUGAGGAUUUAAAUGGCCGCGGUACUCUGACCGUGCAAAGGUAGCAUAAUCAUUAGUUUUUUAAUUGAAAGCUGGAAUGAAAGGUUGCAUGAAAAAAUAGCUGUCUCUAUUUAAUUUUUUUAGAAAUUUAUUUUUAAGUAAAAAAGCUUAAAUAAUAUUUGAAGACGAGAAGACCCUAUAGAGUUUUAUUAUUUUGUAUUUAAAAAUUAUUGGUAUUUAGUUAUUUUUAUGUUAAAAAUAAUUUAGUUGGGGUGAUUGAAAAAUUUAACAAACUUUUUUUGUAUUUUUACAUUUAUUUAUGAAUUUUUGAUCCUUUAUUAAAGAUUAAAAGAUAAAAUUACCUUAGGGAUAACAGCGUAAUUUUUUUUAAGAGUUCUAAUCGAAAAAAAAGAUUGCGACCUCGAUGUUGGAUUAAAAUAAAAUUUUGGUGUAGCAGCUAAAGUAUUUGGGUCUGUUCGACCCUUAAAAUUUUA
rnacentral:rRNA from 2 species